rnacentral:misc_RNA from 1 species
AAGUCGUAACAAGGUUUCCGUAGGUGAACCUGCGGAAGGAUCAUUAAUGAAUUGAUAAUUUUUUGGGGUUUUCCCUGAAAAAUAAUUCACCUUUUGUGCACUGUUAUAAGAUAUACUUUGGUUAGAGCUUUGAUUUCAUUUUUUUUGAAAUCAACUUCUUGCUGACUCUAUCCUUUCUGAGGACAGUUGGCUAUGAAGCGGCCUACCAAGGUUUUUUUAUCAAACACUUAUAUUUUUGUCUGACCUAAAUUAUUAUAAUUAAAUCAUAACUUUCAACAACGGAUCUCUUGGCUCUC